UGAGGAAUAUUGCGCAAUGGCCGAAAGGCUGACGCAGCGACGCCGCGUGAAGGAUGAAGUCCGUUAGGAUGUAAACUUCUUUUGCAGGGGAUGAAAAUCCGCUUUCGGGCGGAAUUGACCGUACCCUGCGAAUAAGGAUCGGCCAACUACGUGCCAGCAGCCGCGGUAAUACGUAGGAUCCGAGCGUUGUCCGGAAUUACUGGGUGUAAAGGGCGUGUAGGUGGGUCUUUAAGUCGGUGGUGAAAUCCUGCAGCUUAACUGCAGAACUGCUUCCGAUACUGAGGAUCUUGAGUACGGCAGAGGGAGAUGGAAUUCAUGGUGUAGCGGUGAAAUGUGUAGAUAUCAUGAAGAACACCGGUAGCGAAGGCGGUCUCCUGGUCCGUAACUGACACUGAGGCGCGAAAGCGUGGGGAGCAAACAGGAUUAGAUACCCUGGUAGUCCACGCCUUAAACGAUGGGUACUCGGUGCUGGGCCGCAAGGUUCAGUGCCAAAGCUAACGCAUUAAGUACCCCACCUGGGGAGUACGAUCGCAAGGUUG
rnacentral:rRNA from 1 species